UUUGAGGUUACUUGAAUGAGUGUAAGUACACAAGCAUUUCAAUAUUUUAUUUUCCUGUCCCCUGAACUUGGAUCAUUUGCUCAUUUUCAGGCUUGGGCCGACAUGAAGUACGAGCUCAAAGCCAAAGUGGCCUUAAAAAGAAACGUCCCCACAGGGAACAUAGCGAGUGGCCGGUGCAAGGCUAACAAGUCAGAACAAAAUAACAUGGAGGUCCCGGAGGAAGGAGAUGCGGACGCUCCCGCCUCCCCUCGUGGCACUUCCCCUGAAGAGCUCGCGGAGGAACCACUGAAUGAUCAGGAGCAAGCCCUCUUUAAAUUGUUCGGCCAAGGGAGUUGGAUCGGGGAGGCCAAGGAGGAGGAGCUAGGCCUCCCUCUGAACGCAUCCAAAGUAGACAAUGAUGAGGAAAUAAUGUUUGUUUCGCAAUACAAUAUGUCCGAUGAUGCCAGUUACAUUGAAGAAUUCACCAAGCCCCAGAAUUUUUCUGCCGCAGAAUGCACCAAGUCCCAGAACAAAACCCCAGCAUUCACCAAGCCGAAAUUCAGCAAGCGUUUUGUGGCCGCAGCAUCAACCUCGUCAAGUAGUGCCCCUCCCAAGAAA
rnacentral:lncRNA from 1 species